rnacentral:rRNA from 1 species
CUACGGGGCGCAGCAGUGAGGAAUAUUGCACAAUGGGGGGAACCCUGAUGCAGCAACGCCGCGUGGAGGAUGACGCAUUUCGGUGUGUAAACUCCUUUUAUAUGUCAAGAAAAUGACGGUAGCAUAUGAAUAAGCACCGGCUAACUCCGUGCCAGCAGCCGCGGUAAUACGGAGGGUGCAAGCGCUACUCGGAAUCACUGGGCGUAAAGGACGCGUAGGCGGGUCGGAAAGUCAGGUGUGAAAUCCUACAGCUUAACUGUAGAACUGCACUUGAAACUUCUAAUCUAGAGUAUGGGAGGGGGAGAUGGAAUUAGUGGUGUAGGGGUAAAAUCCGUAGAUAUCACUAGGAAUACCUAAAGCGAAGGCGAUCUCCUGGAACAUUACUGACGCUAAGGCGUGAAAGCGUGGGGAGCAAACAGGAUUAGAUACCCUGGUAGUC